rnacentral:rRNA from 1 species
ACGUAGGUGGCGAGCGUUAUCCGGAAUCAUUGGGCGUAAAGAGGGAGCAGGCGGCCGCAAGUGUCUGUGGUGUACGACCGAAGCUAAACUUCGGUAAGCCAUGGAAACCGGGCGGCUAGAGUGCGGAAGAGGAUCGUGGAAUUCCAUGUGUAGCGGUGAAAUGCGUAGAUAUAUGGAGGAACACCAGUGGCGAAGGCGACGGUCUGGGCCGCAACUGACGCUCAUUCCCGAAAGCGUGGGGAGCAAAUAG